CCUACGGGAGGCAGCAGUGAGGAAUAUUGGUCAAUGGGCGAGAGCCUGAACCAGCCAAGUCGCGUGCAGGAUGACGGCCCUACGGGUUGUAAACUUCUUUUGUCAGGGAGCAAUUGGGUCCACGCGUGGGCUUCGCGAGAGUACCUGAAGAAAAAGCAUCGCCUAACUCCGUGCCAGCAGCCGCGGUAAUACGGAGGAUGCGAGCGUUAUCCGGAUUUAUUGGGUUUAACGGUUGCGUGGGCGGGCAUUUAAGUCGGCGGUAAAAUGUCGGGGCUCAACCCCGGCCUGCCGUCGGAACUGGGUGCCUUGAGUGGGCGAGAGGUAGGCGGAAUGCGUGGUGUAGCGGUGAAAUGCAUAGAGAUCACGCAGAACCCCGAUUGCGAAGGCAGCAUACCGGCGCCCUACUGACGCUGAGGCACGAAAGUGCGGGUAUCGAACAGGAUUAGAUACCCCAGUAGUC
rnacentral:rRNA from 1 species